GGGGCUAUAGCUCAGCUGAUAGAGGGCUACAUUCGCAUUGUAGAGGUCGAGGGUUUAAAUCCCUUCAGCUCCACCA
rnacentral:tRNA from 1 species